UACGUAGGUGGCAAGCGUUGUCCGGAUUUACUGGGCGUAAAGGAUGCGUAGGCGGACAUUUAAGUCAGAUGUGAAAUACCCGAGCUUAACUUGGGUGCUGCAUUUGAGACUGAGUGGCUUGAGUACGAGAGAGGUGAGUGGAAUUCCCAGUGUAGAGGUGAAAUUCGUAGAUAUUGGGAAGAACACCGGUGGCGAAGGCGGCUCACUGGCUCGUAACUGACGCUCAUGGCACGACAGCGUGGGGAUCAAACAGG
rnacentral:rRNA from 1 species